rnacentral:misc_RNA from 1 species
UUCUCCUUGUGCAUCUCCGAGCAAUCAGAGUUACAUCAACAAUAACUUUUCCAAUGGCAGCCUGGAAAUUCUGGAAGCCUGACAACCUUUUAAGGAAAGACUGCCCAGAGGAUGAAAACUGAUGAUUCAAAUAUGUUCAAGCAAAAGUUAGACUAUACAAAAUAAACUGCAUAACUUCAUUGACAUGCACGUAUAGCUAAAAGGACUGAGUUG